GCGGGUGUGGCUCAGUGGUAGAGCGCAACCUUGCCAAGGUUGAUGUCACGAGUUCGAAUCUCGUCACCCGCU
rnacentral:tRNA from 2 species